rnacentral:rRNA from 1 species
UAUGGGGGGAGCAAGCGUUGUUCGGAUUUACUGGGCGUAAAGGGCGCGUAGGCGGCCACCGCAAGUCGGUUGUGAAAUCUCUGGGCUUAACCCAGAAAGGUCAACCGAUACUGCGGGGCUAGAGUGGCAGAAGGGGCAACUGGAAAUUCGUCAGGUGGUAGCGGUGGAAUGUCGUAGAUAAUCGAGAGGAACACCUGUGGCGAAGGCGGGUUGCUGGGCGUGAACACGUGGCG